rnacentral:lncRNA from 1 species
AUGAACAGACAGGUUUCUGAUCCUGUUGCUACAGAUAGCCAGGAGACAUAUCAGAACCAGAGAAGAGCUUAAACAGAGAAAGCCAGGAGUUGAUUUCAAUGGUGAUAACGAUUUCCAGACAGAGAUCCCAGCAUGAUGAUAGGGGGAGUCUGACGAAAGUUAAAACCAGAGAAAGAUCCAGGCAUAUGAUUCUAGGAAGGAAUUACUGAAGAAGAUUUGAUUCCAGGCUGAGUUCCUGAAGAAGAUCGAACAAGAUUGAAGAGCUGUGAAUGAUUGAAGACUCUCACUGAAGAUUCCGUCAACAUUCAAGGGGGAGUCUGUUGGUGCAGUUGUCUGUCGACUACAUCUUCGUUCGAGUCUUAGGGUAGGGCUGAGUGUAUUGUGAACAGUAAACGAGAAAUCUUGUAUUGUAUAGGACCGCUUAUAGGGUAGAUGAGGUGGAUCGCUUAUGUGACAUUCAUGAUGGAUCGCUCAUCUGUCACUUGUUAGGAUUGCUCAUAUGGACCUGUCCGUAUAAGCGAUCCAUGACUUCUAUAUAUAGGGGUCAUAUAAGCGGUUCCAGUAGUUAGCGUAUGUGUGUGUGUAACGGCGAAGCUCUGCCCGUUUGUCUCCAAGAGCUUGUAUUUUGACAGUUAAUCAAUACAGGAGACGUUAAUUAGUGAAAUCAAGCUCUACGAAGACUAAUUCAAUGAAUUCCGCCUCUGAAUUAGUCUAAGCACUCUUCUAAACGACUCGUCAGGUCGACAAAUGAUCCUACACGGAGGAUUAAGACAGAAGUUUGGAUAGGAUAGUACUAAUUUGGUAGAAAUCUUGCUAGAUUAGUCAUAAGUCGAAUGAUUACACUCAUACCGAAAGAGUUUACAUCGUUUACAAGCUGGAUAAAUAAAAAUUUCUCCAGCAUUUCCUUCUGGGAUCUCCAAAACUUAUCAACUAACAAACAAAUGACACUCUAUAUAUAUACAUGAGGUUGGGAUGGACGAGCACGUCCGUGCAGAUGAGCUUGUCCGUGUGGAUGAGUUACAUUCGCAAGAAUGAGUUACAUCCACACGAAUGUGUUACAUCCGCAUGCUAUUACAUCCGUAUGAAGUUACAUCCCUAAGAACCUCUCUCGUCUUCUCCAAAGUCAUGUGUUUGUAUCUCAACUACACAAUAUUCAACACACACUCUAGCUAGCCUAUUUGCACAGUUGCGGACACACAGAAUAUACACUAACAUGAUUUUUCCAUGGAAACAUUUACAGUAAAAUAUUUCCACGACUCUUCAUCAUCAAAUAAGAGAAUAAAAUACAUACUAUAAUAUGAGAGAUUUAGUCAUCAACAUAUUUUAGGGGAGAUUGUUUGGUUAGGUAAGAUUUGCUGAUAAUGAAUGCCAAAACCUAAGGGAACCAUCUUCCGUGCCUGAUGGAAUAAGUUGAAGUACGAUCAAGAGUCUAGAAGUUUCCCCUCUUGAAAGCUUUCAAAACAACCCUAAAAAACUACUAAUACAUGAACUGCUGACUCAAAGUACUAAAGACAGUGUACAAAGUGCUGGAUUGAUAAAGCAUUGGUCAACUAGUCAACAACCAAGUCUAUACGUCAAAGUUGAAGACCAGAAGACCAAGUCAACAAGUCACACAAGACCUGAAGUACUAGAUUCCAAAAGUGUUGGAAUCCUUCCAACAAUUUUGGAAUUCUAGUUGUUUUCUCUUUGUAAUCUAGCAGUUUAAUGUAACAAUCUGUUUUGUUAACUGUCCAACAGUUUUGCAAAGUACUGGCAGUUACAUUAUUUAUUAAGUUGUUUAGGGUCGUUUUCAUGGUGACAUCACCGGCAGCUCUCUCCUCUUAUAUACAAUUAUGCUCAGAAUGUAAUAGUUAACACUUAGAGUUGAAAAGCAGAACUAAGUGAGAGAGUGCACGUGAUGGGAGGAAGUUUUUUUUUUUACCUUUUGAUUGUACUAUUAACAGUUUGAUUAUAUAAAACCAUUUGACAAUCAUUUUCAAAUUCAGUUGUAUUUAUGAUGAUGUGUUUAUUAUCAUUGUUUGAAUUCAAGAAUUUAUUCAACUAUUCUAUC